AACGAACGCUGGCGGCGUGCUUAACACAUGCAAGUCGAACGGAAAGGCCCUGCUUUUGUGCGGUGCUCGAGUGGCGAACGGGUGAGUAACCCGUGAGUAACCUGUCCCUGACUUUGGGAUAUCUUCAGGCAACUGGGGCUCUUACCGGAUAGGAGCUACUGCUGCUUGGUGGGGGUUGGUUAGUUUCGCCGGUUGGGGAUGGACUGGCGGCUUAUCAGAUUGUUGGUGGGGUAGUGUCUUACCAAGGCUUUGAAAGGUAGCAGGGCUGGGAGGAUAGCCGGCCACAUUGGGACUGAGAUACGGCCCAGACUCGUACGGGACGCAGCAGUGGAGAAUAGAGCACUAGGGGCGGAAGCCUGAUGCAGCAACGCCGCGUGCGGGGUGACGGCCUUCGGGUUGGAUAGCGCUGUCGCCUGUGACGAAGCGUUAGUGACGGUAACGGGUAAAGAAGCACCGGCUAACUACGUG
rnacentral:rRNA from 1 species